UACAGAGGUCUCAAGCGUUGUUCGGAUUCAUUGGGCGUAAAGGGCGCGUAGGCUGCGGGGCAAGUCGGGUGUGAAAUCUCAGGGCUCAACUCUGAAACUGCACUCGAUACUGCUUUGCUUGAGGACUGGAGAGGAGAUUGGAAUUCACGGUGUAGCAGUGAAAUGCGUAGAUAUCGUGAGGAAGACCAGUGGCGAAGGCGGAUCUCUGGACAGCUCCUGACGCUGAGGCGCGAAGGCCAGGGGAGCAAACGGG
rnacentral:rRNA from 1 species